CAUAAGAACCCUGACUAUCCUGAGAUUGCUAUGCUGAAGAGGCCAUACGUGGCCUCAGCUGAAUCUCAGUCAACCAUCAUAACCAACUGCAAGCCAGGUCCCUGAGGUUGAGGAGGUUGUCUUCCCUCAUUUGAGUUCUCCCUUUAAGCCCCUGCAGGCCUCAUCCCAGAUGAGCAACAGCCUUCAGAUCCUGAGUUUAAAAGCCUGAUCCAGACCCGAGUCAUUGGCACCACUCCCUAACUCCUCUCUACUGCAGAUAUUUAAAUGGGAAUCAUAAUUGAUGAUAUUUUAACCAGUAAAAGAACAAGGAGGAAAAGAAGAGGAGGAGAAGGACCAAAGAAGAAUGGAAGAGGACAUUAAAUUUUAGUCCUAAGCAAAUACAGCAUGAGCUGCUGUGAUUACAAAACAGCUGUUUAGCACUUGCUCUGACAUUAUUAGGAAAAGUCCCUUUUCUACUUUUAUUCAAACCUUGUAUUCCAUUACCUUGGUCACAGUAAAGACAUUCAAUGAUGGACAUGUGACUUGGCAGUCAGUUGAAACCCAGUCCAGAGACACUCUUGCAACUAUUGGGAAAUGAAAGUUCUCAAGCCACUGGAUGAGAAGCUGGUAGGCAGGGGAAAUCUCCCCAGAAAUUAAGCUAGUGCAGAGGAGCACUGAGCUGAAAGAUAGCAAGACACUAAGCUUUGAUAUUCUCAGCUGACCUCCUGGAUCCAGCCAUGCCUAAAUCAACCCUGUUCCUGUACUUUUCAGUUACAUGACUCAUUUUCCCAUUUUAUACUUCAGGCAGUUUCUCUUUGGUUUCUAAAAGUUUAAAACCAAAAGUAAAAACAAGUAAGAAGCUAUUAUAGAUAUACCAGCUAUUUUAUUUAGAUACACAUUAGUUCAUCACAGAGAAACAGACAAGAGAGUUUAGACAGCUCAUAUUUGUGCAUAUUAUGACAUAAUGACCUUUGUACAAGUCAAACUUGAGAUGCUUUAAAAUAGAAAGGAGCGCAAAAAAAUAAUGCAAAAAACAUAGGAGCACAAAAAAGUAUAGGACUUGGUGGCACCACACCCCUACCAGCAGCACUGUUAUCCCUAUAUUUCCAUAAUCUGACCCUAAAUAAAAUUUAUAAUUUUAUGGAAA